AAAAUGCGAUAAGUAGUGUGAAUUGCAGAUUUUAGUGAAUCAUCAAAUCUUUGAACGCACAUUGCGCCCGCCAGCACUCUGGCGGGCAUGCCUGUUCGAGCGUCAUUUCAACCCUCAGAACCCCUUGCGGGAUCUGGCGUUGGGGAUUGGCAUCCAGCCAGCCCCGAAAUCUAGUGGCGGUCCCUCCGCGACCUCCCCUGUGCAGUAGCGAUACCUCGCAGCGGGACAGCGGUCUGACCACGCCGUAAAACCCCCAACUUCUCAAGGUUGACCUCGAAUCAGGUAGGAAUACCCGCUGAACUUAAGC
rnacentral:misc_RNA from 1 species